CACCUACUCCCUCCGUUCGGAAUUACUCGUCCAAGAAAUGAAUGUAUCUAGAUGUAUUUUAGUUGUAAAUACAUCCAUUUUUAUGACAAGUAAUUCCGAACGGAGGGAGUACAUG
rnacentral:pre_miRNA from 1 species